GUCGUCUGAAAUGUCACCAGAACGGCAUAAAAACGUCAUUGUUUAGGAUGUCGUCCGAAAUGUCACCAAAAUUGCAUAAAAACGUCAUAGGUUAGUAUGUUGUCCAAAAAGUCACCAAAACGUCAUUGUUUAGGAUGUCGUCUGAAAUGUCACCAAAAUUGCAUAAAAACGUCACAGUUUGGUAUGUCGUCCGAAAUGUCACCAAAACAUCAUAAAAACGUCAUAGUUUUUUAUAUUGUCCAAAAAGUCACCAAAACGGCAUAGUUUAGUAUGUCACCAAAAAGUCACAGUUUAGUAUGUCGUCCAAAAUGUCACCAAAACAUCAUAAAAACAUCAUAGUUUAGGAUGUCGUCCAAAAUG